UACGGAGGGUGCAAGCGUUAAUCGGAAUGACUGGGCGUAAAGGGUGCGUAGGUGGUUAUGUAAGUUGUACUUGAAAUCAAAGGGCUCAACCUUUUGCGGAGGUACAAAACUGUGUAACUAGAGUAGAAGAGAGGGUAGUGGAAUUUCCGGUGUAGCGGUGAAAUGCGUAGAGAUCGGAAGGAACACCAGUUGCGAAGGCGGCUACCUGGCUGAAUACUGACACUGAGGCACGAAAGCGUGGGUAGCAAACAGG
rnacentral:rRNA from 1 species